rnacentral:tRNA from 1 species
GCCGGUGUGGCCCAGUGGAUAGAGCACCAGCCCGCAGACUGAAGGGUCCUGGGUUCGAUUCCUGGCCCUGGCG